rnacentral:sRNA from 1 species
GACGACGACGACGACGUGGACGAGGACGACGAGACGACGACGACGACGAGACGACGAGGACGAGGACGAGGACGAGGACGAGGACGAGGACGAGGACGAGGACGGGGAAGAGGACGAGGACGAGGACGAGGACGAGGACGAGGACGAGGACGAGGACGAGGACGAGGACGAGGACG